rnacentral:rRNA from 1 species
AGUGAACGCUGGCGGCAUGCUUAACACAUGCGAGUCGCACGGUCAGCAAUGUCAGUGGCGGACGGGUGAGUAACGCGUAGGGAAGUGUCCAGAGGUGGGGGACAACCCCGGGAAACUGGGGCUAAUACCGCAUAUGGCCUGAGGGCCAAAGCAGUGAUGCGCCUUUGGAGUUACCUGCGUCCGACUAGCUAGUUGGUGGGGUAAAGGCCUACCAAGGCGACGAUCGGUAGCUGGUCUGAGAGGACGGCCAGCCACACUGGGACUGAGACACGGCCCAGACUCCUACGGGAGGCAGCAGUGGGGAAUAUUGGACAAGGGGCGCAAGCCUGAUCCAGCGAUGCCGCGUGGGUGAAGAAGGUCUUCGGAUCGUAAAGCCCUUUCGGCGGGGACGAUGAUUACGGUACCCGCAGAAGAAGCCCCGGCUAACUGCGUGCCAGCAGCCGCAGUAAUAC